rnacentral:ncRNA from 1 species
UUAUCUUCAGGGCAGGGUGAGAUUCCCGAUCGGCGGUAAAGUCCGCUAGCUUAUGGCAUGAACCGGUGAGAUUCCGGUACCGACAGUUACAGUCUGGAUGGAAGAAGAUU